CCGUAGCCCAAGAGAUCGGGAUAACACCUGGAAACAGAUGCUAAUACCGGAUAACGACAGAUGAUGCCUAUCAACUGUUUAAAAGAUGGUUCUGCUAUCACUCUUGGAUGGACCUGCGGUGCAUUAGCUAGUUGGUAGGGUAACGGCCUACCAAGGCGAUGAUGCAUAGCCGAGUUGAGAGACUGAUCGGCCACAUUGGGACUGAGACACGGCCCAAACUCCUACGGGAGGCAGCAGCC
rnacentral:rRNA from 1 species